UACGGAGGGUGCAAGCGUUAUCCGGAUUCACUGGGUUUAAAGGGUGCGUAGGUGGUCAGGUAAGUCCGUGGUGAAAUCUCCGGGCUUAACUCGGAAACUGCCAUUGAUACUAUCUGUCUUGAAUACCGUGGAGGUUAGCUGAAUAUGUCAUGUAGCGGUGAAAUGCUUAGAUAUGACAUAGAACACCAAUUGCGAAGGCAGCUGGCUACACGAAUAUUGACACUGAUGCACGAAAGCGUGGGGAUCAAACAGG
rnacentral:rRNA from 1 species